UAUAUGUCAUAAUUUCAAAAUUAAGGAGUUGGUAAUGCAACCGACAGUCGCAUUUUAUUCGAAAUGUUCUGCCGAGUCUGAAGAGCUUAGUCUAUUUUAGGGGAUUCCCCACGAAUCGAACUGCACUUGGCACUGCACUGGGCCUCACUACAUGGAACCGCGCAGUCUCCUUCAGCAUGCAUUUUCCCAAUAGCUUGCGCUCGCUACGUGCACGGUAAUGCUUGUCCGUUUCUGCUCUAGAUUUCUGUGUGGAAAUGUGACACCUUUUUUCCUCGCGCAGAUUCACUUCUGGAUUUAUCUAGUUGAUCAUGUUGAGUUUGGCUAUAAAAUGGAUUUAAUGUAUUGUCGGAUAUACGCAAUUGAACAUGAUAAUCUGCUUUGAUGAAAACAUGUGAUGGCGCUACUUCACUUGUGGAAGUUCGGCAAGACGAGAGGAGUCGGACCAAAACCUGCACCGGUCGUCUACAGUCAGACCGCAGGUCCCUAUUCUAAUGAGCAAAAAGGCCAGAUUCAUACAAAUCAUCUCGUGGCUGAAUCCUCCUCCUUGCAAAAUCUCGUGAUUCGUGAGAAUUUCUUUCUCUAAGAAUAUACCUGUUUUAACCUCAAGUUAAAUGAAAUAUUAUUGCAACAUCAGAUAGAGUAAAUGUUAUUCUUUCAUAUUGGUCAUUUAUUUUGUAUACAAUAUUUUGAUAAAUAAGUAAAUUUCUGGCCUGAAAAUGUGCCUCAAAACUGAAUUUUCUUCCUCUGUGUUCUUUUGCAAAUUGUGCAAAAAAAAUUUAUUUUGAGACUCAGUGAUAUAUAUAUCACCAUAAAGCUGAACUUCUGUACUUUCUCACAAUGCCACUUUUGAUAUGCGGCACCUUUUAAUCGGGUCAAGAUCACACUUUUCCCACCAAGGUACAAGACGAGAUUUCUGAAAUUUUGUACUUGCAUGAAAUCCAGAGUUCUGAUUGGCUGGAUAAGGUUCACAGAACAACAGACGCGGGAAAUUUGAGGAGAUUACCACAUGGGAAGUGUGACUUUCCCAUGAACCCAGGCACUGGAACCGUUGGAAUUAGCCAGUGUGUGGUCUCUUUGACCAAUCAGAGUACAGUAUUCUUGUUUUCAAGCUGCUUUAUGUACUUGGCCAAUGAAAAGUGUGAUCUUGACCCGAUUAAACCAAUUCUUAUUUUGAAACCUAUACCAUUUUAAAGCACACAUAUUCAGAUUUAUCAUGAUUUAAAAAUCAUUUGGGUUCAAACAAAAAUAAAGUGUGAAAAUAGCAGCUUUCGUCAGGUGAAAAUAAUUAUUUUGUAGCAUAUUUUAGAUCAAAAUUUUAACCUAUAUUACAAAAUCUACGAAUAAAUUCAAACACAUGACCUGAAAGAAUGAUUCUUCUUCUUUACAAUGAUAUCAAAAUCAUGAAAUUUGAUGCACAAUUAGAGCAGCAAUGACCGAAUGAAAAGAAGUGUUUUGGUCCGCAUCAAGUUCAUUAAAUAUGCAAAACAUCUCAAGUCAUGAAUAUCACUUGGAUGAAAGAAGCCACUUUCUUGGGACCUGCCGACUGACUGUAUACAUGGUAUAUAACAGCAAUAUUAACAAAUUGUUUGUAAUAGGUCCAUGGUGUUAUCAACAGGCCUGGGGUAGAUCCGGUGUUUGGGGAUGUGGGGGGGGGGGGCAACGGACCUUAAUUUCUUCUUUUGUUUUACUUGUCAAUUUUUAUUGAUGCAAAUUAGUGAUUUAAAGAAAAAUAUUUUCUUUUAUGUGAAUUUGACCUCAGCUAUAUUUUCGGUUGGCAGCAUUUUUUGUACACAGCUGGACCAAGUUUUGGCGAGUUAGCGCCGUGUUUUUGUUGUUGUUGAUUGGUUUUUUAACGGCGCUCUCAUAAAAAAAAAGAAUACAUGCACCAAAACAUGCUAACAUGAUCUUUUAUUUCCGAGGGAAGGGGGGGGGGGGGUCCAGACAUGAGUGAUAGACCAACUGUUCUUAAACGUGUAUAAAAUACAAUGAAAAAGGUAACAUUUUUACAUAAUAAUGUAACUAUUCUUAUUUAUAUAUACAUGUAUUCAAGGUGAAUAGGAAUAUUGCUAUACUUUAACUGAACUAAACUUUUAUCCGUCUUUUAUUGCCAAAAUGGCUUUUGGAAGAUGUUUCUCAUUGUAUUGAUUUUAACCAGUGUGGUAACAUUCCUGGAUUAUCAACAUCGCAUUAUCUUAUCAAAUCAUUACAAAGUAUUUUAGAAAAUUGUGAGAAACCCAAAUCUAUAUCAAUUAUUAUGUAUUGAUUUUUCCAAAGCGUUUGACAAAUUGGACCACAAUAUUUUAGUUAAAAAAUAAUUAAUCUAAGAGUUAGGCCGUUUAUUAUUGAUUGGAUUAUUUUUUUUUUUAGAAAUAGGAUAUCAGUGUGUAAAAUACCAGAACAAAUUUUCAGAAUAUGUAACCACCCAUGCCGGAGUGCCCCAAGGUACGAAAUUAGGACCCAUUUUAUUUUUUAUUAUGUUUAAUGAUGCUUGUCAAAAACAAUGUUGCCAUAUUUUGAAUACGUUGAUGACCUAACUGUACUUGAAAAAAAAAUCAAUAUUAAAAAAUGUAUUAGAUGGUUUUAGAAUUGACUGACAGUCAACAUAUGAAGCUAAAUCCUAAUAAGUAAAUAACAAUGAACAUAUUAACUGAAAAAAUGCACCCUUUUGCCAGUUUUUGCAUAUUGGAAAACCAGAACUGCCGUACGUUGAUCCUUUAAAGAUCUUAGGAGUUUGUAUCCAACAUAAUUCAAAAUGGGACUUUCAUAUAAAUGAAAUGUUAAAAAAGUGCAAUCAAAAGCUCUAUAUGUUUAGAUUAGUGACAAAAUAUAAAUUACCAAUUUCUGACUUAAAUUCAAAAUCGGAUAUAUCCGCCUUGUCUUACAAUAUUGUGUGCCUGUUAACGGAAGUUCAACUUUAGACCAUGUACAAAUAAAGAAAAAAGAAUCCAAAAAAAGUUUGUAAAAUUAUCCAAGGCAAAAGUUAUUUAAAUUAUGAAGAUGCCUUAAAACGAUGUAAACUGGAUACACUAAAAGAUAGGCGUGAACAAUUGUUAUGAUUUUGCAGUAUAUGUAUAUGUUACCGGAAAGAAAUGUUGUUGGCAUGAUUCUCCGCAAUAAUGCAGGACCUCCCGUUUUAAACAUAUAGUACAAUACCUAAUGUUAUCAAUCUCCUAAAUAAAUGCUGCACUGCACCUUUCACUAUAA